rnacentral:rRNA from 1 species
UACGAAGGGGGCUAGCGUUACUCGGAUUGACUGGGCGUAAAGGGCGCGUAGGCGGCUUGUACAGUCAGGCGUGAAAUUCCUGGGCUCAACCUGGGGGCUGCGUUUGAUACGUGCGGGCUUGAGUUCGGAAGAGGGUCGUGGAAUUCCCAGUGUAGAGGUGAAAUUCGUAGAUAUUGGGAAGAACACCGGUGGCGAAGGCGGCUCACUGGCUCGUUUCUGACGCUCAGGCGCGACAGCGUGGGGAUCGAAACAGG